rnacentral:rRNA from 1 species
GACAGAGGGUGCAAACGUUGCUCGGAAUUACUGGGCGUAAAGCGCGUGUAGGUGGAUUGGUGUGUCAGAUGUGAAAUCCCUGGGCUCAACCCAGGAACUGCACCUGAAACUACCAGUCUUGAGUGGUGGAGAGGGAAGUGGAAUUCCUGGUGUAGAGGUGAAAUUCGUAGAUAUCAGGAGGAACACUAGUGGCGAAGGCGGCUUCCUGGACACCAACUGACGCUGAGACGCGAAAGCGUGGGGAGCAAACAGG